GUUUCGCCUAAGGCCUCAAAGUCUAGAGCUGUGUGUGUGUGUGUGUAUAUAUAUAUAUAUACACACACAGCUCUAGAGUGUGUGUGUAUGUA